AUAGGAUUAAGUUAAGUUAGACUGGAUGUUUUCAAAACAUUUUGAGGGUAAUUCCAUCUUAUG
rnacentral:tRNA from 1 species